rnacentral:rRNA from 1 species
AUUGAACGCUGGCGGCAGGCCUAACACAUGCAAGUCGAGCGAGUGGCGGACGGGUGAGUAAUGUCUGGGAAACUGCCCGAUGGAGGGGGAUAACUACUGGAAACGGUAGCUAAUACCGCAUACCAUCGGAUGUACCCAGAUGGGAGUAGCUAGUAGGUGGGGUAACGGCUUACCUAGGCGACGAUCCCUAGCUGGUCUGAGAGGAUGAUCAGCCACACUGGGACUGAGACACGGUCCAGACUCCUACGGGAGGCAGCAGUGGGGAAUAUUGCACAAUGGGCGCAAGCCUGAUGCAGCCAUGCCGCGUGUAUGAAGAAGGCCUUCGGGUUGUAAAGUACUUUCAGCGAGGAGGCGUUACCGACAGAAGAAGCACCGGCUAACUCCGUGCCAGCAGCCGCGGUAAUAC